UACAGAGGGUGCAAGCGUUAAUCGGAAUUACUGGGCGUAAAGCGUGCGUAGGCGGCUUUUUAAGUCGGAUGUGAAAUCCCCGAGCUUAACUUGGGAACUGCUUUCAAAACUGCUGAGCUAGAGUACGGUAGAGGGUGGUGGAAUUUCCUGUGUAGCGGUGAAAUGCGUAGAUAUAGGAAGGAACACCAGUGGCGAAGGCGACCACCUGGACUGAUACUGACACUGAGGUGCGAAAGCGUGGGGAGCAAACAGG
rnacentral:rRNA from 1 species